AGACGCAGUCUGAACAUCCUGCCGCGUGAAGGAUGAAGGCCCUCUGGGUCGUAAACUUCUUUUAUUAGGGAAGAAACCUCAAGAUGCGUCUUGAGCUGACGGUACUUAAUGAAUAAGGAUCGGCUAACUUCGUGCCAGCAGCCGCGGUAAGACGAAGGAUCCAAGCGUUGUCCGGAUUUACUGGGUUUAAAGGGUGCGUAGGCGGAAAAUUAAGUCAGUGGUGAAAGCCCGCAGCUCAACUGUGGAACUGCCAUUGAAACUGGUUUUCUUGAAUAUAGCUGAGGCAGAUGGAAUAUAACAUGUAGCGGUGAAAUGCUUAGAUAUGUUAUAGAACACCGAUUGCGAAGGCAGUCUGCUAAACUAUUAUUGACGCUGAGGCACGAAAGCGUGGGGAGCGAACAGGAUUAGAUACCCUGGUAGUCCACGCCCUAAACGUUGAUUACUCGCUGUUGGCGAUAUACUGUCAGUGGCUAAGCGAAAGCAUUAAGUAAUCCACCUGGGAAGUACGACCGCAAGGUUGAAACUCAAAGGAAUUGACGGGGGCCCGCACAAGCGGAGGAGCAUGUGGUUUAAUUCGAUGAUACGCGAGAAAAACUUACUGGGCUUAAAUGUCGGGUGACCGCU
rnacentral:rRNA from 1 species